rnacentral:lncRNA from 1 species
GAAGAUUGAAUCUGUGCCGAUAGUAUGUGAGUAUCCAGACGUGUUUCCAGAGGAAUUACUCGGAUUACCUCCUGAAAGGGAGAUAGAGUUUAAUAUUGAGUUGGUGCCAGAGACAACUCCCAUUUCUAUUACCCCGUACAGAAUGGCACCUACCGAGUUGAAAGAGUUGAAAGCACAGUUGCAAGAGCUGACGGAUAAAGGAUUUGCUAGGCCAAG